GACGAACGCUGGCGGCGUGCCUAAUACAUGCAAGUAGAACGCACAGUUUAUACCGUAGCUUGCUACACCAUAGACUGUGAGUUGCGAACGGGUGAGUAACGCGUAGGUAACCUGCCUGGUAGCGGGGGAUAACUAUUGGAAACGAUAGCUAAUACCGCAUAAUAUUAAUUAUUGCAUGAUAAUUAAUUGAAAGGUGCAAUUGCACCACUACCAGAUGGACCUGCGUUGUAUUAGCUAGUAGGUGAGGUAACGGCUCACCUAGGCGACGAUACAUAGCCGACCUGAGAGGGUGAUCGGCCACACUGGGACUGAGACACGGCCCAGACUCCACGGGAGGCAGCAGUAGGGAAUCUUCGGCAAUGGACGAAAGUCUGACCGAGCAACGCCGCGUGAGUGAAGAAGGUUUUCGGAUCGUAAAGCUCUGUUGUAAGAGAAGAACGGGUGUGAGAGUGGAAAGUUCACACUGUGACGGCAUCUUACCAGAAAGGGACGGCUAACUACGUG
rnacentral:rRNA from 1 species